UUGCUUGAUGAUGCCCACCAGUGGCAUUUAAUUCAUACAUGAUGACUGUGUGUCUGAAACACCAAUAGUCAA
ensembl:snoRNA